UACGGAGGAGGCAAGCGUUAUCCGGAAUUAUUGGGCGUAAAGCGUCCGCAGGUGGCACUUCAAGUCUGUCGUCAAAGACUGGGGCUUAACCCCGGAAAGGCGGUGGAAACUGAAGCGCUAGAGUGCGGUAGGGGUAGAGGGAAUUCCCGGUGUAGCGGUGAAAUGCGUAGAGAUCGGGAAGAACAUCGGUGGCGAAAGCGCUCUGCUGGACUGCAACUGACACUCAGGGACGAAAGCUAGGGGAGCGAAUGGG
rnacentral:rRNA from 1 species